rnacentral:rRNA from 1 species
UCCUUCAUCGUCGAGGGACGUUCGGGGAAGGACCAGAGGUGGGGCGCCGGCGGCAGGGAGCUAGGUGAGGCGGAGGGUCCCGUCUCCGGCGACGAAGCCAUGGAUGUUCAACCAGAACAUCAUGUUCGCGUUGACCUCUGUGGGCUGCUGCUUCUCCAACAUCGUCUGCAAGAAGUGGUACAUCGACAUGAACAAUAGGGCUGGAGAGUUCAAGGAGCCGGACUGGUUCUUGAACAGAAAGAAGGGCGGCAUGUUCCUGACCAGGAAGGACUACAACUUUAUUUGGUUCCCAAAUUUUUCAUAAGAAUCUGCAACCGUAUGAGUAGCAAGUAAAUUUGGCAUAGCUAUUCAAUUCAGCGCAUCUUGCAGUACAGUACUGCGGUGCACGGAGAAGCGGCGCAACCUGUGGCGCGAGCUGCUGUACAUGAGCGGCGGAGGGAUGGACCUUUUUGUUGUUCCCCGCUCACGAGCUGUUCUCGGAUUUGGUCUUUAAGCUACGAUUCCACACCAAGAUUAUGUUCUCUGGAGCUAACCGUGCUGCUGUGCUGGACAGGCAGAUGAGGGCCGGCCUGCUGCCGAUACAAGCCGUCGAGGUGGACGGCCAGCACUAAAUCAUUUGCAGGUAUCUAGAGUUACAUUCCGGUGGCUGAGAUGCAUAUAGUUGUUGGCUGUAGUUCCUUCCAUUUGUCCGCUCGACGUGGAGAUUGACCCUCUAUGUAGCAUGCAACACUCAGCUGGGAAAUGCACUUAUAGGAACUAAUCACUUACUUUGCUGAACUCAGUCUGUUGUCCAGUUUCCGCAGACAUUUGUCAGCUGGCAAGAAGGUUGAAGGCACAUCGACUUGCUUCGAUUAAUUGGUGGUGCGGGCUGGACGACACCGAAGUAGUCAUCUUCGCCGGCCCCCUCACUGCGUACGCAUACUCCUUCAAUUUUUCCCUCCUACUGUGUUGUGAUCUGGAGAAGCUCAAGUAGUCAUCUUCGUCCAUCACGUCACUGCAUACGCAUACGCCUCUGAUUUUUGGCUCCUGCUCAAAGGAAUAGGAACGUUUCCCGCAAAAAAAAAGGAAUAGGAAUGUGCUCCUCCCAAAAGACAAUAAAAAUCCAGCACCAACAAUGAAUAGCCGGAGUAAACAAAACAAGCAGACCAAAUCGUGUCGGCCCUCGAGGAAGGGUUGCAGUGUCGAGGAGCAGCAGGCAUGUAAAUCUGACUGCAAUUCAUGUCACGGUGGAUGGUUGAGAGGAGGGAGGCAGAGCAGAGACAAACGGCGCAUUCCGCCAUGCAUGUGUGUGGAUUUGUAUCAUCCUACUACUGUGUUGCUUUGUUUUACAGUAAUAAAUAAAGAGAUGAAUCAGAUUUUCUUUGGUUCGUUAGCAAAAUUUUACACAUCAAGUAUUUGAUCUCAGAUCCUCUAUUUCG